GACAGAGGUGCCAAGCGUUAGGCGGAAUCACUGGGCUUAAAGCGUGUGUAGGCGGAUCGUUAAGUACCUUGUGAAAUCCCACGGCUCAACCGUGGAACUGCUGGGUAUACUGGCGAUCUUGAGCCACCUAGGGGCGAGCGGAACAAGCGGUGGAGCGGUGAAAUGCGUAGAGAUCGGGAGGAACACCUGUGGCGAAGGCGGCCACCUGGGCCGACCCUGACGCUGAGGCGCGAAGGCGUGGGGAGCGAACGGG
rnacentral:rRNA from 1 species